rnacentral:rRNA from 1 species
UACGGGGGGGUAAGCGUUGUUCGGAAUUACUGGGCGUAAAGGGCUCGUAGGCGGCCAACUAAGUCAGACGUGAAAUCCCUCAGCUUAACUGGGGAACUGCGUCUGAUACUGGAUGGCUUGGAUUUGGGAGAGGGAUGCGGAAUUCCAGGUGUAGCGGUGAAAUGCGUAGAUAUUCGGAAGAACACCAGUGGCGAAGGCGACUUACUGGACGAUUGUUGACGCUGAGGUGCGAAAGCGUGGGGAGCAAACAGG